UUGCUUGCUAUGGUAUUGAUUCAACAAUUGUUGCAGUUUAGUAGACAUGUCGGGCUCACUGACAGUGAAAAAACAAGAACCCUAACAGUGAUGUUUCGUUUAUAUGAGGAGGAUGCUGAUGGGAAGACGAGGAAGAUGCAGAUGAAGACACGAGGAGUUUAAAUGAAUUACCUCAAAUAUAUAAUAUAGAAUAUACAACAUAUUGCAGCAUGCGGGCAGAAUGUUGCAAAAUCUUUAAACUCGAUGGUCUUUUAUAAACAUUCGUACCUUACCGUAAUAAUUAAACAGCCUUCUGGAUGAAA